CGGGUGAGUAACGCGCGAGGAACCUGCCUCAAAGAGGGGGACAACAGUUGGAAACGACUGCUAAUACCGCAUAAGCCCACGGCUCGGCAUCGAGCAGAGGGAAAAGGAGCAAUCCGCUUUGAGAUGGCCUCGCGUCCGAUUAGCUAGUUGGUGAGGUAACGGCCCACCAAGGCGACGAUCGGUAGCCGGACUGAGAGGUUGAACGGCCACAUUGGGACUGAGACACGGCCCAG
rnacentral:rRNA from 1 species